UACGUAGGGACCGAGCGUUGUCCGGAUUCAUUGGGCGUAAAGAGCUCGUAGGCGGCUGCUCAAGUCGAAUGUGAAAACUCGAGGCUCAACCUCGAGCCUGCAUUCGAUACUGGGCGGCUAGAGUCUGGUAGGGGGAUCUGGAAUUCCUGGUGUAGCGGUGGAAUGCGCAGAUAUCAGGAGGAACACCGGUGGCGAAGGCGGCUUUCUGGGUCUUACCUGACGCUGAGGAACGAAAGCUAGGGGAGCGAACGGG
rnacentral:rRNA from 1 species